rnacentral:rRNA from 2 species
AGAUUAAGUUAUUAAGGGCGCACGGUGGAUGCCUUGGCACUAGAAGCCGAUGAAGGACGUUACUAACGACGAUAUGCUUUGGGGAGCUGUAAGUAAGCUUUGAUCCAGAGAUUUCCGAAUGGGGAAACCCAGCAUGAGUUAUGUCAUGUUAUCGAUAUGUGAAUACAUAGCAUAUCAGAAGGCACACCCGGAGAACUGAAACAUCUUAGUACCCGGAGGAAGAGAAAGAAAAUUCGAUUCCCUUAGUAGCGGCGAGCGAAACGGGAAGAGCCCAAACCAACAAGCUUGCUUGUUGGGGUUGUAGGACACUCUAUACGGAGUUACAAAAGACGACAUUAGACGAAUCAUCUGGAAAGAUGAAUCAAAGAAGGUAAUAAUCCUGUAGUCGAAAAUGUUGUCUCUCUUGAGUGGAUCCUGAGUACGACGGAGCACGUGAAAUUCCGUCGGAAUCUGGGAGGACCAUCUCCUAAGGCUAAAUACUCUCUAGUGACCGAUAGUGAACCAGUACCGUGAGGGAAAGGUGAAAAGCACCCCGGAAGGGGAGUGAAAUAGAACCUGAAACCGUGUGCUUACAAGUAGUCAGAGCCCGUUAAUGGGUGAUGGCGUGCCUUUUGUAGAAUGAACCGGCGAGUUACGAUUUGAUGCAAGGUUAAGCAGUAAAUGUGGAGCCGUAGCGAAAGCGAGUCUGAAUAGGGCGUUUAGUAUUUGGUCGUAGACCCGAAACCAGGUGAUCUACCCUUGGUCAGGUUGAAGUUCAGGUAACACUGAAUGGAGGACCGAACCGACUUACGUUGAAAAGUGAGCGGAUGAACUGAGGGUAGCGGAGAAAUUCCAAUCGAACCUGGAGAUAGCUGGUUCUCUCCGAAAUAGCUUUAGGGCUAGCCUCAAGUGAUGAUUAUUGGAGGUAGAGCACUGUUUGGACGAGGGGCCCCUCUCGGGUUACCGAAUUCAGACAAACUCCGAAUGCCAAUUAAUUUAACUUGGGAGUCAGAACAUGGGUGAUAAGGUCCGUGUUCGAAAGGGAAACAGCCCAGACCACCAGCUAAGGUCCCAAAAUAUAUGUUAAGUGGAAAAGGAUGUGGCGUUGCCCAGACAACUAGGAUGUUGGCUUAGAAGCAGCCAUCAUUUAAAGAGUGCGUAAUAGCUCACUAGUCGAGUGACACUGCGCCGAAAAUGUAC